rnacentral:rRNA from 1 species
AUUGAACGCUGGCGGCAGGCUUAACACAUGCAAGUCGAGCGGGGAAAGGUAGCUUGCUACCUGACCUAGCGGCGGACGGGUGAGUAAUGCUUAGGAAUCUGCCUAUUAGUGGGGGACAACAUUCCGAAAGGAAUGCUAAUACCGCAUACGCCCUACGGGGGAAAGCAGGGGAUCUUCGGACCUUGCGCUAAUAGAUGAGCCUAAGUCAGAUUAGCUAGUUGGUGGGGUAAAGGCCUACCAAGGCGACGAUCUGUAGCGGGUCUGAGAGGAUGAGCCGCCAACCUGGGACUGGGACACGGCCCAGACUCCGACGGGAGGCAGCAGUGGGGAAUAUUGGACAAUGGGCGAAAGCCUGAUCCAGCCGUGCCGCGUGUGUGAAGAAGGCCUUUUGGUUGUAAAGCACUUUAAGCGAGGAGGAGGCUACUUGGAUUAAUACUCUAGGAUAGUGGACGUUACUCGCAGAAUAAGCACCGGCUAACUCUGUGCCAGCCGCCGCAGUAAGAC